GAUGAAGAACGUAGCGAAAUGCGAUAAGUAAUGUGAAUUGCAGAAUUCAGUGAAUCAUCGAAUCUUUGAACGCAUCUUGCGCUCCUUGGUAUUCUGAGGAGCAUGCCUGUUUGAGUGUCAUUAAAUUCUCAACUACACUGACUUUGAAUUGGUGUGGCUUGGAUUUGGGGGGAAAAUUGUUGUGGGCUUUUUGUAUAGUCUGCUGCCCUGAAAUUGAUUAGCGGUACCUUUGUGGAACUGUCUACAGGUGUGAUAAUUAUCUACAUCUUAGACAUCUGCUGGAAUGCUGCUCUCUAAACCUUACUUGUAUUGACAAUCUUGACCUCAAAUCAGGUAGGACUACCCGCUGAACUUAAGCAUAUCAAUAAGCGGAGGA
rnacentral:misc_RNA from 1 species